rnacentral:rRNA from 1 species
GGGGGGGGUGGGGGGCGGGCCUCAUACAUGCAGGUCGAGCGGCCCGACGAGGAGCUUGCUCAUCUGACGUUAGCGGCUGACGGGUUAGUAACCCGUUGAUUACCUUCCUAUAAGACUGGGAUACCUUCGGGACUCCGGAUCUAGUACCGGAUAACAUGUUGCAUCUCAUGGUUCACCAGUGUAAGACGGUUUUGCUGUCACUUAUUGCUGGAUCCUCGUCGCAUUAGCUAGUUGGUAAGGUCCCGGCCUCCCACUGCAACGAUGAGUAGCCGACCUGAGAGGAUGAUCGGCCACACUGGAACUGAGACACGGUACAGACACCUACGGGAGGCAGCAGGAGGGAAUCUUCUGCAAUGGGCGAAAGCCUGACGGAGCAACGGAGCGUGAGUGAAGAAGGUCUACGGAUCGUAACACUCUGUGAUUAGGGAAGAACAAAUGUGUAAGUAACUAUGCAAGUCUUGACGGUACCUAAUCAGAAAGCCACGGCUAAAUACGUG